UUUAAGUGCAAUUAAGUUUUCGUGUCCAAUUUUAAUCGUCUGUCUUAUUUAAUUUUUUAUAAUUAGUAUUUUUGUUAUUAUGAGAUAAUAAAAUUUAAAUAAUACUUUACAUAUGGCUUAUGUUUUUCAAUUUUUUUAAAAAAAUUUAAAUAAGAAGAACGGUCAAAAUUAUGCAUGGAAAAUAAUGACUGCGCUUAAA
rfam:Oryza sativa Japonica Group DNA, chromosome 1, cultivar: Nipponbare, complete sequence.